rnacentral:rRNA from 1 species
AACGAACGCUGGCGGCAUGCCUAACACAUGCAAGUCGAACGAGACCUUCGGGUCUAGUGGCGCACGGGUGCGUAACGCGUGGGAACCUGCCCUUAGGUUCGGAAUAACUCCCCGAAAGGGGUGCUAAUACCGGAUAAUGUCUUCGGACCAAAGAUUUAUCGCCUUUGGAUGGGCCCGCGUUGGAUUAGCUAGUUGGUAGGGUAGAAGCCUACCAAGGCGACGAUCCAUAGCUGGUCUGAGAGGAUGAUCAGCCACACUGGGACUGAGACACGGCCCAGACUCCUACGGGAGGCAGCAGUGGGGAAUAUUGGACAAUGGGCGAAAGCCUGAUCCAGCAAUGCCGCGUGAGUGAUGAAGGCCUUAGGGUUGUAAAGCUCUUUUGCCCGGGAUGAUAAUGACAGUACCGGGAGAAUAAGCUCCGGCUAACUCCGUG